rnacentral:pre_miRNA from 1 species
CAACUACUCCCUCUGUCCCAAAUUUCUUGUCUUAGAUUUGUCUAGAUACGGAUGUAUCUAAUACUAAAAUGUGACUUGAUACAUCCGUAUCUAGACAAAUCUAAGACAACAAUUUUGGGACGGAGGGAGUACUUU